AUACCUAUACCUUAUACGGGAAAACGAAAAUUAAUAGCGGUCAGCUGGCCCCACAGCCCGAGACGCUGUACAUUAUGACGUGUAAUAAGAACGGGACAAUAAUUGGAGACCUCGGAGCGAAAACCCGCAGAGAAUUCCGCUGUUUUUUUUAAAAAUAAUACUGUUCUUUACUUUUCCCGGAUUUAUCGGCCACAAUCGUUGCACCGGAAUAUUCUAAGACUAGAUAUGUGGGCGUAUCCGGAAUGUGGUUCCUGUUUGAAAAAAGG